AGAUUCCUACGGGACGCAGCAGUGGGGAAUAUUGCACAAUGGGGGGAACCCCGAUGCAGCAAUGCCGCGUGAAGGAUGAAGGUUUUCGGAUUGUGAACUUCUUUUGUACGGGACGAAGAAAGUGACGGUACCUGCAAAGGAAGCACCGGCUAACUCCGUGCCAGCAGCCGCGGUAAUACGGAGGGUGCGAGCGUUAAUCGGAAUUACUGGGCGUAAAGCGCUCGUAGGCGGUAUGUCAAGUCAAGGGUGAAAUCCCCGCGCUCAACGUGGGAACUGCCUUUGAAACUGGCAAACUGGAGUGUGUG
rnacentral:rRNA from 1 species